rnacentral:tRNA from 1 species
GUUUCCGUAGCUCAGUAGGAUAGAGCAACUGCGUCCUACGCAGUAGUCCGUGGGUUCGAUUUCUGCUGGGAACA